GAUAUGGAAGAGACUAGAGCUUCUGGUAGCACAUUCCACCUAUGAGAUCACUCACUGCUAUUUGUAUACAAAACACCAUCUUCCCGGAGGGGGAAAAAAAGCUGCACCCUUUCACUUGGGAGUCUGAUGCAAUGGACCCCUAAGGACUUCUACAGGCUUGAAUGAGCAAACGCCAUCGUUGCUGCGUUCCUUACUGGUUUUCAGCAGUAGGAGCAGUACCAGCAGACACUUGUCCAGCAGAUUUUACUUCAGCUGCCUGUUUCUGCCUGAGCUGAGAAGGUCCCAUCGCUUCCUGCUCUAGACGGAGAAACUGAAGCUCAAGGUAGUGCGAGCUGCAGCUCAGAGCCAUCCAGGUACCUGCCAUUCCUGUGGCACUGUUUGCAGAGCCUACAGAAAGCACUGAGCCACAGAUAGUGUCAUGGUCAGGGUCGGAGUUGGAAGUCGUCGGCAACAGCUGAACAAGAGAGAAGGUUGUUGGGUUGGACUUUGGAGAAGUCCUCUCUCCCCAAGAGACUUGGAAGGUCAGGAGAGUUGCCACCUUUGAGAAGCAGACUUCCAAACAGCUUGAACAGGCUUGACAAGAGCUGCAGGUGGGGGACCCGCAGCCCCUUUCUGACCGCUGCUCCCUGGGAGAGGCUCUCUAGGCCAAGACAAGCUUUGGCUCUAACUACCUUUUCCUUCUGAGCUAGGGAUGCUGGGUGGUCUAGGGGGCAGGAGGGCAGCAUGGGGAGGUGGAGCAGGGCA